CGGAGGCAGCAGUGGGGAAUAUUGGUCAAUGGACGCAAGUCUGAACCAGCCAUGCCGCGUGGAGGAUGAAGGUCCUCUGGAUUGUAAACUCCUUUUAUAAAAGAAGAAACCCCGGUAUUCUUACCGGGUUGACGGUACUUUAUGAAUAAGCACCGGCUAACUCCGUGCCAGCAGCCGCGGUAAUACGGAGGGUGCAAGCGUUAUCCGGAUUCACUGGGUUUAAAGGGAGCGUAGGUGGGUCGAUAAGUCAGCGGUGAAAUCCCCAAGCUUAACUUGGGAACUGCCAUUGAUACUAUCGAUCUUGAAUACUGUGGAGGUAAGCGGAAUAUGUCAUGUAGCGGUGAAAUGCUUAGAUAUGACAUAGAACACCGAUAGCGAAGGCAGCUUACUACGCAGUUAUUGACACUGAGGCUCGAAAGCGCGGGGAUCAAACAGGAUUAGAUACCCUAGUA
rnacentral:rRNA from 1 species